CCUACGGGAGGCAGCAGUGAGGAAUAUUGGUCAAUGGACGAGAGUCUGAACCAGCCAAGUAGCGUGAAGGAUGACUGCCCUAUGGGUUGUAAACUUCUUUUAUAUGGGAAUAAAAUGUUCCACGUGUGGGGUUUUGUAUGUACCAUAUGAAUAAGGAUCGGCUAACUCAGUGCCCGCAGCCGCGGUAAUACGGAGGAUCCGAGAGUUAUCCGGAUUUAUUGGGUUUAAAGGGAGAGUAGGUGGAUUGUUAAGGCUGUUGUGAAAGUUUGCGGCUCAACCGUAAAAUUGCAUUGGAAACUGGCAGUCUUGAGUGCAGGAGAGGUGGGUGGAAUUCGUGGUGUAGCGGUGAAAUGCGUAGAUAUAAGGAAGAACUCCGAUUGCGAAGGCAGUUCACUGGACUGCAACUGACGCUGAGGCUCGAAAGUGUGGGUAUCAAACAGGAUUAGAUACCCCAGUAGUC
rnacentral:rRNA from 1 species